CGCAAAACACAUACUCGUGGGGCAGAAACACGUUGAAGCGGUGCAAUUCGCUCCAUCUGGCCAGAUCAAGCGCUUGAAGUCUCGUCACUUGCAGAGUGACUCUCCGUUCGUGCCUCCAACCAGUCCUUUACCCCUUCUCUGCCGGUUAUAUUCCUCUACAGACACUGUGUAUGGGAUGGAUGUUCACCGCGGUCCGAUUUAGCGUUGCUUCACCUGCUGUCAAUAUCAAUUUCCACCUCGUGUGAGCUGUCGAAGAGUCUCUUCAAUAAAUUUAAAUCCGCAUCUUGUUGCGAAAAGUCGCAGAACUAGACGGCUCGGAAACAUGCUGCCCGAUCUGCUGAGUCUUUCCUUGAUUUCUUUAGUCUAACUGAGGAAUCGCCUUAGAAAUAUUUGAAUUGCUACUUAACACAAGGAAGGAAUUUGAAGUUUCUCAGUCGCAGGAGGUGACUUGAAGAAAAAAAAAUGAGGAAAUAAGUAGAACCUAAGCUGGUUUCAAGUGAAAGUAUAAAUUAGUUUAAGACUAUUUCCUUUGACACUCAAAGCACGAACCACGAACUGGAGUGGUUUAGGUAGCAACCACUGGCCGGUUAGCUCCUGUGAUCAUGGAGCUGUUUUGAUGCUGUCUGGUCUUGAUGAUGCUACAGUUUGCAUUGACAUAUGAAGACUUGUAUUCCAGCAAUUCCCAAAAGUUGUUUCUAAUAUAAAAACAGCAAGAAAGGUCUCAAGCUGAAGGCUGUGGGCAGAAGAGAAACUGGGCUUAACCUUGUGAAAUAAUUAGCAGCUUUCUUGAGCAUGGGAUUUCAAAGAAUUAAAGGACAGUUUCCUGUAAGAAAUGUCUUGAAUUCCAAUAGGACACAAUUAUUCAGUGAAUAAAGGAAUGAGAAUAAAGCUAUACAAGGCCAAGUCAUCCUUGUUUUAAUUUUUUUUCAUGUUCCAUCUUCUUCCCUUUUGAUGCAUGUAAAUUGCAGAGCUUUGUUUUGUGUUAAUGGGAAUCUGAGCCAGUUGUGGCUAAAUUAAUAAAUGGGGCCUUGAGUGGCAAAGUCUGGUUUUGGUUGCUAUCUUCUCAUGACUGUUUCAAGUCACUGAGCACCUGAGAAUUUUCUGUUGGUGAUUUCUUGUAUGGUACACAACCAGAUUGACCCAGUUGUCAAGAUGUGUUGAGGUUAUGUUUUUCUACUUAAUGAAGCAGAAACAAAAAACCCUUAGCUCAAUAUGGACUAAGGAGAUCUUUACACUUCAGUUCCAGUUCUCGCACUCAAAAUGAGCUGAGAUUUUUGGCUCCAUCAGCCUUUGGAGUAUGGGUUGGGCCAUGAAAGAGAUCCAGAUGGAUUUACGAUUCUAUAGUGAGUGUGUUUGAUUUCUAACAGAAUUAAAAAUGGAUUAAUGGUUAUCUAUGAUGUGUACUUUGGCCCUUUCUGGAGGCUCUUACUGCAAUAGAAAUGUAAUCAUAAAGUGCACUGAUUAUUGUGAGAAUUUGUGUGGGUGUCUGUGUGCUUUGAAAAAGGUACGGGCAACUGCUCUAUUACAGGGGGUUGUGUUCCUAGGAAACUGGCUGUACCAUUUUUAUUCCUCACCCCCCCAUAACACAAAGCUAUGUAAUCUGCACAUGUGCCAAGAAAUACAAGCUGAAAAUUGCUUCUUUUUCACCAAAACCUGUAAGAUUUGGAUUUUAUUUGCUCUUGGGUAGUGAUUUGCAAAUUCUGUAAGGGCAACUUUACAUGACCCAAAUGGCACUGACGUGGGGGUCGUGUGUGUUGGGCAACUUUCUGCUCAUGUUGGCAGUAGGUAUAUGCAAAUAGACAUUCACUGGCAUAUUGUUAGAUCCAAACAAGAAUUUUAAAUCUUCAAACUGUAUCUUAAGAUUUUGUUUGGAAGUGUAACAAAUUAAAAGUGGUAGCAUUGACCCCUUGUGUGCCAUAAAGU